rnacentral:rRNA from 1 species
CGUAGGUGGCAAGCGUUGUCCGGAAUUAUUGGGCGUAAAGCGCGCGCAGGUGGUUCUUAAGUCUGAUGUGAAAGCCCACGGCUCAACCGUGGAGGGUCAUUGGAAACUGGGGAACUUGAGUGCAGAAGAGGAAAGUGGAAUUCCAAGUGUAGCGGUGAAAUGCGUAGAGAUUUGGAGGAACACCAGUGGCGAAGGCGACUUUCUGGUCUGUAACUGACACUGAGGCGCGAAAGCGUGGGGAGCGAACAGGAUU